GGACUGUAGGCUGCAACUCGCCUACACGAAGCUGGAAUCGCUAGUAAUCGCGGAUCAGCACGCCGCGGUGAAUACGUUCCCGGGCCUUGUACACACCGCCCGUCACACCAUGAGAGUCUGUAACACCCAAAGCCGGUGGGAUAACCUUUAUAGGAGUCAGCCGUCUAAGGUAGGACAGAUGAUUAGGGUGAAGUCGUAACAAGGUAUC
rnacentral:rRNA from 1 species